AGUGAACGCUGGCGGCGUACCUAACACAUGCAAGUCGAACGAAGUGGCGCACGGGCGAGUAAUAUAUAGCUAAUCUGCCCUCCACUGAGGAACAACAGUUGCAAACGACUGCUAAUACCUCAUAUUGUAGGAUGAGACGAUAUCGUAUCAGCUAGUUGGUAAGGUAAUGGCGUACCAAGGCUAUGACGCGUAACUGGUCUGAGAGGAUGAUCAGUCACAUUGGAAGUGAGGCACGGUCCAGACACCUACGGCAAGCAGCAGUAAGGAAUAUUGCGCAAUGCGGGUAACCCUGACACAGCAACGCCGCGUAGAGGAUGACACUUUUCGGAGAGUAAACUCCUUUUAUCAGGAAAGCGGUACCUGAUGAAUAAGCACCGGCUAACUUCGUGCCAGCAGCCGCGGUAAUAC
rnacentral:rRNA from 1 species